GGGGCUGACCGGUAUUGACAGUAAGUGUAAAGAUCGGGCUCGCAUGCAGGCUGGAGUAUGUACGGCCUUGAAAGAUUCAUACGAACUAUAAUUGGCGAAAAUACUUACGCCAUGGCUGCCUAAUCUAACCUUUUAGGAUAGAUUGCUUAAAGGGUUGAGUUUCGAAGCGGAAUUCCCCGGCCACAUCUCACCACCCGUUGCCUGAUCCGGGUGGAUUUGAGGUGUCGACUUGAUCGGGUUGCGGUUUGUGAUGCUAUUAAGCAGACCUAAGAUCAAUAGCUAAGCCGUGACAAGGUGUGUCAUCCAGCAUAUCUCGGUCGAAAAUCUAACAGGUGACUAAGCAUGUAGACGGUACGUUGUUUCCUUAUCUGGACGCGAGUUCGAAUCUCGCCAGCUCCACAA
rnacentral:tmRNA from 1 species